rnacentral:lncRNA from 1 species
GGACUUUCAUUGUAUUUGGUUCUGCUUGUAAAGCGGUAGCUAAAAGUUUAUGUUUGUUACAGAUGUCGUUUUCUGAAAAUGGAGUCAGCUUGAAUGUUAGUGAAUUGGUAAUUUCUGUUUUCCAGAACCUCAAUGUAAAAUUUACGUCAAACAAUAAUAAUAUUAUUAGCAGCUUUAUCGACCGGGACAAAAACAAAUUCCUUGGCUAGUUCUUUUAGUUUAUG